CAACCCUCCCCUCCCCCAUGUCAUGCGUAGGCUAGGGUUUAGACCUCUCUCUGGUUCGUCCCUCCCAAGCCCUCUUCUUUGGCGGGAUCCGCCACUCUCCUUCCCGCCACACCUCCUCUUCCUCCCAGAUCCACCACUCCAUGGCCGUCAUGGGCCUCGACAGAGACUCCCGUGCGCCGGGGAACCAAGGUUGCUGCUCUGCGGCGUCACGCCAUGGACUUUCUCCCUUCCUCUACUUCUGCUCGGGACGCCAAGCUGCUGUACCUCACCCAAGGUCACCCGCGACUCCAGCGUCAACGAAAGGAUCCGGUACAGCAGAGGACAAAGAGGUUCAUCGUGCAGGGCACCUCGGCCUCGGUGUCUUCCGCUGUCGUGUUGUUCGGCAUCG